UUUUACAUUUUAACCUAGUACUUGAGUUCAUUUUAUGUAUGUGGUGAUUGGUUUUAGCUUUUUAGAUUUUUUAUCUACCUCAUACUCAACUUUGAUAAAAAAAUUUAGGUAUAAUAAUGCCAAUAUUACUUUUAUUAUUUGGUCUGUACAACUAUUUGCAUCUGUCUGAAAGAUUGAUUUUUAUACAUCAAACACCAUAUUAAAUGCAAAUUAUCUCCCUUGAUAACUUAUGAGUUAUCUACUCUGAUUAUAGAAUGAAAUAAAUAACUAUUCAAGAUCCUGCAUUUUGCAGUUUUUAAAAAUAACUAUUUCUGAAUUUGAUUUGAAAUUGAUAUUUAAUUUAGUACCAUAUCAUAACUAGGUUGCAAACAAUCUAUUUUUAACUUAACAUUUUAUACUCUAUUUUCUUUUUUGAUGUAUUUUCUUUUCAAGCAUUUCUCUAUUAAUAAACCAAUUUAAACAAUUUAUUGCAUGAGAUAAAAUUACAGUAUAAAAAAGUUUUGAUUAAACAAAAUUUGAAAAGAAAUUGAAAAUGUAUUUAUAUUUGAAAUGUUACCAAAGGGUGCUCUUUUGUAAAUGAGAAAUACAUGAAAUAUAAGUUACAGUAAGAAUGCAAGUAGAUGUAGUGUCUAUAAGGUACCUCCUAAACAGCAACACACAAACACACAUAGCCUUCUUUUGUCUGCUUUUGAUUUAAUUCUACAGCAAGCUACCUAUGUCAAAUUAUUAACCCUAUAUUUUAUCAAAAGUAGAAUCUGUGGUUUAAAAACUCAGUUUUUUUUUUUACUUUUUAUUUUAAUAUUCUUUAAAUAUAGAAUGAUAUGCCAAUGUUUUGAAUAACAUAAGUUAAU
rnacentral:lncRNA from 1 species